GCGGUGAUCGUUUGUUUCAAAGCAAUCCUUUGAAAGGAUUGAAUUCCAGUAGCCGAAAAAAUAUCGGAAGCAGCAGCCAUAGCAGCAGCAGAUCACAAUUUAAGCAAAUUUCGCCACGGAACACCAACUGACGCCUACCGGAACGGCAAUGAAAAGAAGUUGGCGCUUGUGGCAAUUUCUUGCUUGCCUACCGCGAGUAUGUGUGCUGCUGGACCCAAGGAACAACCACAAUUGGAUCUGACCGAGCUUGGACAUCGGACACAGUAAGAAGCAUCACGGAGAAGUUGCAGCGAAUGCUCGGCGCGUUACCAGUGAGCUAGGCAAGCGGCAUAUACGAUGACUCAUUUGGCGUGGAGGAAGCAUUCGGUUGGUCAAAUGGAGGGUAGUUGAGGCGUUGUGCGACACAAGUUCGGAAUAUCCACUGAACAGACGGUGGUCAAGUUUUCCCGACAACUGGUGAGGAAAGUGAUGGAUAAAACCAAACUGAGCGAAAUCUCGUGGCGCAACACAUGGAGGUAGUAUACUAGGUAGUAUAGCACCCGUUUGUGGCUCGACUGUGUGAGGUAGGUCAUCUACUCCAAAACCAAACUGCCGGAGAUUUGUGGGUAGAGGAUAUUUGUAGGAUUAUACUCGGGAUUAUAUCAUUCGCCACGAAAGGAGCCUGAUGGAGAACAUUGGGAUUGGGAUAUGAUCCGCCAGAUUGUGUAAGUUAUUUUUUAUUGCCAUCAUUUGCAUGCAGAGCACAGCAAAAUUCCGAAUCGGAAAAAAGACGAAAAAAAACCGAAUUAGCUUUGCCGUCUUUCAAUCAAGUGGACAUUUCGACAUUUUUGAGAUGUGGAAUCUUGUGUCGUCCUCCCGCACAAAGCCCGGAACCUCACCCCGUUGUUCAUACAUACUAUUCGAACCAAUCAUCCGCAAUGUCCCGUUGUUCUAGCUGGGAUUCAGUGUAUAAUGAUCAGCCAAAUAUGGCUCGGAUGUCGUUGAAACAUACUCCGACCUUAACAACUUUUGAGCCGUCGUGAAAAUAUCUCAUUUGAAAAAGAUCAGCGAUCAUCCAUGAAUAACGUAGUAUUUUAGGGGAUGAGGAAGUCUGCGAAUCUGAGACUGACCGCGUGUAUCGCCUAACUGACUGACCUGAGACUUAUCGAUUAUCUAUAUAAGGUACAUCGGGGCAAGUUGAAACGGGUGGGGCAAGAUGAAACAGCGGGUUGACGUGACGUGAUCUAAUGAUGACAAACAAUUUGAUUGCCAUAACAUAUAGUUUUUGAUUCAAACAAACUUUUAGCGAAGAAUAAGUAUCCAAAUUGUAUUUUUCAAAACUUCGCGUUUCAUCUUGCCCCACCCGUUUCAACUUGCCCCGGUGUACCUUAUAUAUAAAUGAAUUACUGGCUGCACAGGGGUUUUGUGGAACGGCAAAGGUUCUUAGCAUGGAGACCUCUCCCCACUCUGGAAAGAGGGGCUCCCAGACAGAUGACUUUAUGGGGCACUUCCCUGUGAGUAUAUAAAAAACAUUAGGCAGGCAGUACGAGGUUUGCCAGGACAGCUAGUUUGAUAUAGAAUAAUACUUUGUGUGGAGAGUCAAAAAUGGAUUACCUGCACGGAGCACGAUCAGCAGGGGAAUAAUAAUUUUAGGGGCCGUCCAUAUACUACGUGGACAGAAAAUUCAUGGUUUUUGACCCCCACCCCCCUCCCCGUGGACAAGCGUGGACUUUUCAUUGACCCCUACCCCCCUCCCCCAAUGUCCACGUGGACAUCCGAGAAAAAAAUAUUUUUAUGUAUAUUUCUAAAAAAAAUGGAAAAAGUGAUUUUGAAAAGUUUUUUUUAAAUGUUGUUUUUUUUUAUUCGUAAACAAUGUCUUAAAUAUAAUUGAAAACUUUAUAAAAUACAAAUAUUCUAUAGCUUUACAUAGAAUACAAACAAGUAGCACAAAAUAGGUACCUACAAGUUUUCAACAUUGUUUUAAAUUCAGCUUAAUGUUUGUAAGAGUGUGGGUUCGAUUCUUGCACCAGUUGGUGAAAAAUGUUCGUCAAACGUAAAAUUCUUCAUUGGGUGUUUUUCCAUGUCCAUCGCCUAAUGUUAGUGAUUGUUAAAUUUUUGGUCUGUACAGCCUCUGGUUGAAGACGGUGUUUUUUUUUGAAUGUUUGUUCAAUCUAUGAUUGUCUUGUUGAAAUAAGGUUAUUUUAAAUGUUAGAUUUUUGUUGAGAUAUGAUUAUAUUUCUUAGAUUCCUACAAAAAAAACAAGAUUUACAGCAACUAAAUUAUAUUGCUGAGGUUUAGACUUUAAUAUCCAUUAGAAUCAUCUUAAAUUUUAAAGGAACUUACAAAAAAAAAGUUUUUGAGAUAAGCAUGCAUAUCCCUACAUGGAUUUUGAAACUUUGAAGUAGUAUAAAAAUUUGAUAUGAAACUCUGAAAAAUCCAUACAGAACUUCAAUGAAAAUUUUCUGACUGAAACACCAACAUUUGCAUGGUCUACACUCCAUUUUAAAUCUCCAGAAUAUUCCUCGAUGAAGAAAACUAAGUAAUUAGAAAUUCUGAUAAUUUAAAAUAAAUUAGUAUGUGAACCAAGGUUUUUUUUUUCCUUGAAGAAGUAACUUACAACUAAAAGACAAUGUAUAAUAAAAUAAAAUGUAUGAAAGAACUGUUGAAGAGAAUCUCAUCAGUAAUGCGACAUAAUUUGUUUCGUUUGUAGAUUCUUGUUUCCUAAUUUUUGUGUCAACGUUGUCCACGUGGACAUUUGACGAACCCCCACCCCCCUCUCCAUGGACAAGCAUGGAAUUUUUGCUAACCCCCUCCCCCCUCCAAGCUGUCCACGUGGUAUAUGGACGGCCCCUUAUUUGUUACGGCUAAAAGCAUCUAAACUCGAAUUUCUUCUUCUUUUUUCUGGCCAACUAGCACCGUUCGGCUCCAGUUGUGUUUUACGUCGGCUGAGUCUAGGAGCUAAGCAUUAAAUUCCGACGCCCCAAGGAGACAGCUACCACACCUGAGGACCCUACAUAUCGAACCCAUCAACACAUGGGCCGAGACCUACGGCUUUAAUUCCUAUCCGAGGGAAGACGUGAUCACGGAUUUCAUUGAACCCCGAUCGACUGGGGUGAGAGGCAACCACGCUUAGCACUACACCACCGACGCCGACAAAUUUCUUGAAAUGAAAAUCGUUUGCCGAAAAAAAAGUAUAGGCACCAAAGCAGUCAUCAUUGUGUACAACCGCUUCCAAUUUUUUUUUGGUUUUUUGAAUAAUGUAUUCUCCUCCGAGAAAUUUGCCGUAAAAUGCUAUUCGUCAUACAAUAUUUUUAGGGUUUAUUUUUAGUAUUUUUUCGUACAUAGAAGCUAGCGGCACAUUGAUCGAUGCAAAGAGUAGGAAAAUAGCAAAGCAUUUAUUUCAUUGGUCAAGAAUUGUCUAUAACUUCAUGGCUUUGUAUGUAGAACCGCAGACAUGACCGCAGAGUUAAACGAUAUUGAACAAAUGGGCAUAUUACAAUCUUUUUUAACAUUUGGACACUGAUAGGUCUUAAAAAUAUAAGUUUUCUUUUAAGCCUUUUCAACGCUUCGAACGAUCUUCAAGUAUAGGUUCAUUGUAGUAUAUCGAUCAUUUUAAGUGCUACAAUAAUGGUUAAGCACGCUGUAAUGUUACUUUUGUACCUCAUCACCCACUAAAUGCAACUACAUUAGUGGUCUAAUAACACUUAGCGCGCUUAGGCACGGUUCCAUCAUGCCGCUUAUAGUGUUGCCACAUAUAAUGCUUAGUCUGCUAAACCCAGUUAUCUGGCUGUGGGGCAUGGGAGCCAAAGCUUCAACCAUCAAUGCAAUUAAACAUUACUCGAUUUACUACAUGAGUGAUCCAAAUAUUUGAUAAUUGUUCGAUCUGUUUUUGAAAUGUAGCUUAAAAUAUACAAGCUUCUAGUCCAAACGCAUAAUAAUAGUUCAGUUUCGCUUCAUUCAGGAUUUGCUCAAGCAGUUUAUAUUUUUUGUAAAGUUAAACAUAGAGGUUGAAGUUAGAAUUUUUUGUUUCACAAUAGAAAACAAUUUCCAAACCAUUCGAUUUAAUGUAAAAAUAGUGUAAAACAAUAUGUUCUGCAUCACAAUAGACAGCAAUUCCAAAACAAUUGAAUCUAACGUGGAGCCAGUAAUAAAGUCACUGCUCAAAGCAAAACGUUUACCGUACAUUUCACUGUUUAGAACAAUUUAAAAACAUAAAAAUCUUCUGUAUCACAAUAGAAAACAAUUCCCACACCAUUGAAUCAGUUGUGGAACCAGUAGUAAAAUCACUAUUCAGAACAAUACGUUUACCGUUCGAUUCAUUGUUUGAAACAAUUCGAAAACAUAAGAAUCUUCUGUAUCACAAUAGAAAACAAUACCCAAACAAUUGAAUUCAAUGUAAAAACAGUACAAACUGUAUGUUCUGCUUCACAAUAGAAAACAACUUCAAAACAAUUGAAUCAAAUGUGGAACCAGAAAUAAAAUCACUACCCAAAACAAUA